CGACAGUUACAGGUGAGGAACAGGGUAGGAUUACUGUGGCUGGAAGCUGGGAAAAGCCAACACAGGCUUCCUGCUCUCUCCCACCCCACCUUGGCCACCCGGAGCUGGCGGGGUAUAUGUGCGGGGGCUGUGUUUGUGGACAGGUCCCCCUCGGGGUUAAAGUGCUCCUGGAGGGAGGGGAGAGCGGGAGAGCGGCGGAGCAAACGGCGCAGCGGAGCUCGGGAACUUGCAGGUGGAUUAAAGCUGGAAGGAUAGCCUCAGAGCCCGGAGCACUCACUGGCUUUUCAGCCUAGAAUUACCCUUUAAAUAUGAAGGUAUCACCCUUUCUCAAAGGGACUUAACUUCCAUUGGGAUUCCAAUAUCACCUGCUGCAUCUGCCCUUAUGAUCUGAAUAUUUCCAUUUGUUGCUCGGAACGUUUUGCAAAGGACAUUGGCUGCAGCUUCAACAGUGUUUUAUUUGUGAGGAACAAGCUGCUUGGAUGGAGAAACCAAAUCAGGAAUUGUUUCAGAGAAAAAACAUGUGUGGGUGAAAGAAAUGGAUUUGAAUGCAGAAAGUCAGAGAGAUGAAAAAAGCACAAAUUGCUGGAAAAAUCUCAGCAGGUCUGGCAGCAUCUGUGGAGAGAAAUCAGAGUUAACGUUUCGGGUCCAGUGUUGUUUAUAAAUCAGCGAGAUAUGUGUUUUGAGUGAGAGCCAUUGCCCUCUCCUGCCUUCUCUACCUUUUCUCUCUGAAGCCUCAUCAAAGUUUGUCAGUUGACCAUCGACUUGGAGAUUAGAUCACAAUUUCAAGGUUCUGAAAGGAGAAUUUGGACGGUAACACCACUGUUUCAACAGAAAGUAACUUCAGCCAGCCAAACUGAUCCAGGAAAACACUUCCCUGCCAACAGCUUUUGAGCAAAGUGACUUCAGCUUCAGACCACCAUUUGGACAAUUUGUGUCAAAUUCUUUUUCCUGAAUUUAAUUGUCACUUAGCCAAAGCACUUUU